CGGCGUGGGGAACCUGUCUUUAGGUGGGGGAUACCGCAUUGAAAGAUGCGCUAAGACCGCAUACGGUCGAGUGGGGAAGAUCCGCUCGAAGAAAGGCCCCUGGGGGACCAGGGGACGCCGAAAGAGGGACCUGCGUCCGAUUAGCUAGUUGGUGAGGUAAGAGCCCACCAAGGCGACGAUCGGUCGCUGGUCUGAGAGGAUGAUCAGCCACACUGGGACUGAGACACGGCCCAG
rnacentral:rRNA from 1 species